rnacentral:tRNA from 1 species
GGAGAGGUGGCCGAGUGGUCGAAGGCGGUAGACUCGAAAUCUAUUGAGGGCGUUUCGUCCUCCGCGGGUUCGAAUCCCGCCCUCUCCG